CUACAGGUGCCACCAAAAGCAAUCAGGCUGUGAAACUUUCCAGAGCGUUCCAUCUACCUCACACACUGUGCAAAUCGAGGGCUUCAGGAUACAUAGGUGAAAAUCACUUCCUCAUCAAAAUAUUUGCGGGCACUUUGAAAAGAUCACCGCCUCACAUGUGGAGUUUACUUCUGUGGGUGAAGGUGCACAGAGUCAACGUUAAGCACAUGACCUUGCUCCUUUUUAAGAUUAACAAAAGAGUGUGCAAAAGGAACUUAAGAUUCUUUCCAUCUAGUAUUAGCUGCCUGGAUCUUCAAAGUACCUCCAAGGGCACGUUCCGCCAAAAAGCAGAUGGUGGAAAAGCCCUCGUGUUCUUCCUGCUCUGUUGUCCAGUGACUGAGCCGUGUGCCUGACAGGUGUCCGAAUCUGAUUUUGUGUCACUCAGUGCAACCCUGCAUUAGCUGUGGCUGUCAAAGAAAUGACCUCAACAUUUAGCACCCGAAGGCAGCAGUGAACAUUUUCGGUCUCGGGGUCUGUAGGCCAGGAGCUCAGGAGCAGCUGAGGAAACUAUUGGAGGAUAUGUCAUUAGAAAAAAAUACAAAUGGUAACCUAAGAAAAUAGAAGCUGUGGAAAUCCCAGAAUAGAAGAUCCAAUAUGAGGAGAGGAAAGAAAACUAUGACAGUCAUUCCAGGAGGUAGGACCAAUAAAAAACAGUUCUGUAUCAGGCCUAGAGAAAACAUGUUCAGAUUAGACUACCUCUGAAGACCCCAGGAGCAAUCCAUGAGAAGGUAAAACGUAUACAUUACCUAAUGUUUGAAUGUAUUCAGAAGAAGUUUACAGAACUUGAGGAGAUUUUGAAGUUAAAUUAGUGGCUCAUAUAUAAAUAUCAUUUGCAUAGACAUAGUAAUUACUCAGUAUUUCUAUAGCUCAUGGAAAAUGGGGUAUGGGAAGUGUACGUGUGUGUGUGAUGGGAAGAGAGAUAUUCACCGAGUGGGACGUUAAUCAAUAAAUACACCAAACUGAAAAAUCAAAAUCUAAAUAUAUGAUACAGAGAGAGGUGCACCAUAGCAUAGUGGUUAUCCAGGCAGACUCUCGAGUCAGACUUUCUGGGUUUCAAUUCCACCACUGCCAAGUAAUAACUGUCUAACCAUGGGCAAUUUGCUUUGCUUAUUGCAUCUAAGUUUUAUCAUCUGAAAACUGGGAUCAUAAUUAUCUACCUUGUAAGACUGAUAUGUGACUACACUUCUAACUUGCUGAGAACAAUACUUGGCACAAAGCAAGCAGUACAGAAAUGUUGGCUGUUGAGAUAAAGAUGUUAGAGAUGUGGAGGUAAAUAUCAAAAGAGGAAGUUCCUGUUGUGGCUU